UAGGGAAUCUUCCGCAAUGGACGAAAGUCUGACGGAGCAACGCCGCGUGAACGAUGAAGGCCUUCGGGUCGUAAAGUUCUUUUGUUAGGGAAGAACAAGUGCUAGUUAAAUAAGCUGGCACCUUGACGGUACCUAACCAGAAAGCCACGGCUAACUACGUGCCAGCAGCCGCGGUAAUACGUAGGUGGCAAGCGUUGUCCGGAAUUAUUGGGCGUAAAGCGCGCGCAGGCGGUUUCUUAAGUCUGAUGUGAAAGCCCCCGGCUCAACCGGGGAGGGUCAUUGGAAACUGGGAAACUUGAGUGCAGAAGAGGAAAGUGGAAUUCCAAGUGUAGCGGUGAAAUGCGUAGAGAUUUGGAGGAACACCAGUGGCGAAGGCGACUUUCUGGUCUGUAACUGACGCUGAGGCGCGAAAGCGUGGGGAGCAAACA
rnacentral:rRNA from 1 species